rnacentral:rRNA from 1 species
GGGGCCCGGCACAAGCGGUGGAGCAUGUGGUUAAUUCGAAGCAACGCGAAGAACCUUACCAGGCCUUGACAUGCAGAGAACUUUCCAGAGAUGGAUUGGUGCCUUCGGGAACUCUGACACAGGUGCUGCAUGGCUGUCGUCAGUUCGUGUCGUGAGAUGUUGGGUUAAGUCCCGUAACGAGCGCAACCCUUGUCCUUAGUUACCAGCACGUUAUGGUGGGCACUCUAAGGAGACUGCCGGUGACAAACCGGAGGAAGGUGGGGAUGACGUCAAGUCAUCAUGGCCCUUACGGCCUGGGCUACACACGUGCUACAAUGGUCGGUACAAAGGGUUGCCAAGCCGCGAGGUGGAGCUAAUCCCAUAAAACCGAUCGUAGUCCGGAUCGCAGUCUGCAACUCGACUGCGUGAAGUCGGAAUCGCUAGUAAUCGUGAAUCAGAAUGUCACGGUGAAUACGUUCCCGGGCCUU